UUUUAUGGUUGCAUACGCAAUAACAGGGAAUGAGGUUAGAUUCCUCAACAGCCCCCGCUACUGUAUAAGCUACGAAACUCUUAAUAGCCACUAGGAUAAUAUCUUGGGAAGGUAAGAGGAUUAGGUUUGAAGCUUUAAGUCAGGAGACCUACCAUAAAAGUUAU
rnacentral:ncRNA from 1 species